GGAGAUUACAGAUGUACAAUCAAGGAUAGAGAAAACAGGGACGAAUACAGGGACAUCAGACUCCAUGUUAAAGGCUGCACUUUGUCAGACUCUAACCAACUGGAGAUAGUUAGAUCCCGGGGCCAGUCUGUGCUCCUGCCCUGCUCCUGUACUGAACUCCAGGCUAAACCUCUCAGACUGACAUGGACUAAAUUCCUCGAUGGACAGACACACGCAAUACCAUUAAGAGACAGAGUGGAGAUGUUUAAUACUGAGAAAUCUCCAGGGAACCUCUCUGUCCUUCUCUCAUGCAUCACUAAGGAGGAUCAGGGGUGGUACAGGUGUGAAAUAAACAACCAAAACUUUAGAGACAUACGUAUCACUGUUAAAGAGACAGAUGGACCCCAAAAAACCACUACCACUAAACAACCAAAAGUAACUCAAACCAAAAGACCAGAGACUACAAAAGCACUACCAACAACUGCAUCUAAAGGAACAGACACAGUGGGGACCUCAGGAGAAGCUCCAUCUGCAUCCUCUCUGCCAAACAAUACCAUC